rnacentral:tRNA from 1 species
GCGCCAGUAGCUCAGCGGUAGAGCACAGGUCUUAUAAACCUGGGGUCGCUGGUUCGAAUCCAGCCUGGCGCA